UGUGGGAAAGGCAAGUGGCGUGUGUAUGCAAAGAGGUGUUUGCCUUAUAUUUGGGAAGUUCUAAAAAUUAUCAUAUAAUUUAAUCCUUUAAUAACAUUUCGUAUUAAAACUUACUUGUCGUAGAAAAAAUUUGUAGUGCAAAAAAUAUGCAUUCUCUGAGGAAAUUGUCUAUUUCUUUUUCUCGGACACUGAGAAAUAACGCACGACGAACUCUAACCUCACACCCAGCUGCAAAUGCAAAUUCCAACAAGAAUAAAGAAAGACCAAUAUUGGUAACUCAAAUGGAUCAAGUAACUACAAUUGGUAUUAAUCGUCCUGAAAAGAAAAACUGUUUAGAUACCGCAACUGCACAAUUACUAUCAGAAGCAUUGGAUGAAUUUGAAAAUAAUGAAGAAGCAUCAGUGGGAGUGUUAUAUGGAGUAGGAGGCAAUUUUUGUGCUGGUUAUGAUCUCAAAGAAAUUGCAGACUAUGACGGCGAGAGUGAAGAAAAUAUACCGCAUUUUGGACCAUUGGCAAAUAGAACUGAAUUAUCCAAGAAACCAUUGGUUGCAGCUUUAAGUGGAUAUGUUGUUGGAAUAGGAUUUGAACUUGCUCUAAUGUGUGACUUAAGAGUUAUAGAGGAUACAGCAAUGAUGGGUUUUUUAAAUAGACGUUUUGGCAUUCCAAUUUUAUGUGGAGGUACCGUCCGUUUGCCUGCACUGAUUGGAUAUUCCAGAGCUAUCGAACUUAUAUUAACAGGAAGACUAGCUACUGCAGAGGAAGCGUUUAAGUGGGGAAUUGCACAUAAAUAUGCAUCGUGUGGCACAGCUUUGGGUGUAGCAGUAAAUUUUGCAUCUUCUCUCGUAAAGUUUCCGCAAAAGUCUUUACUGGCGGAUCGUACCUCGGCGCACUUUGCCGCGUAUUCGGCAAAGCCAAUGGAAGAAGCAUUACAAUUCGAGAAAGAUAACUCGUCGCAUUUGAUAUUGGAGGAAGGUGUUGAAGGCGCUAAGAAAUUUAUUCAUCAUGGAAUUGGAAGGCAUGGAAAGUUUUACGAUAUCACGCUUAAGGAUAAGAACAUUAGGGAAUUAGAUGAGACUUUAUUGUAAAAGGCGUAGAUUUAAUUGACGACGUUCUUCGUGACGGUCUUCGUACCUUGGAUAGAAUAUCACAACAUCUUUUGGCUACCUUUCCUGUUAGAAGUGGUGUCAAGUUUAUCAUCUGUCCAUUUUCAUCCCCUGAAAAAUAUCUCCUGUAAUAUCUCCUACAAUAGGAAAUGCAUUUCACCGAUGCACAUCUAUAUGCCUUUCUGGGAGAGACCGCGACUUAAACAGCCAGCGACAUGUUUCGUCGUCGGUCUGGAAUUCCGAAUAAUCCUGGAAUUUCAUAUUCGCAAGUUAAAUUACAACAACUGACUGUGCAGGCUUAAUUGGCGAAAGUAAUGCGAGAGACCGGCCGGCCGGCCAACCACUGUCGAGCUUGUUAAAGUCGUUGUGACGAAACGAGUGCAGGUGGCGGAGUGCAUUGUUGCGCAAUCGUCCGCAGUAUCCCUCCUUCGCGUUCUCCUUGUAACCAGGAGUCAGGACGAGGGUCCCCUCGAUAAACCAGAGGGGCCUCCCCACCAGGUGCCCUCCUCCUUAGUGGAUACCUAGGGCUAUGUAGCCAUCGAGACGAAUAAAAUUCAUAAGAUGUCAUAAAGUGAUCAACCA
rnacentral:misc_RNA from 1 species